CAAAACGACUCUCGGCAACGGAUAUCUCGGCUCUUGCAUCGAUGAAGAACGUAGCGAAAUGCGAUACUUGGUGUGAAUUGCAGAAUCCCGUGAACCAUCGAGUCUUUGAACGCAAGUUGCGCCCGAAGCCCCCGGCUGAGGGCACGUCUGCCUGGGCGUC
rnacentral:rRNA from 1 species